UACGAAGGGGGCUAGCGUUGCUCGGAAUGACUGGGCGUAAAGGGCGCGUAGGCGGAUUGUCUUGUCGGGCGUGAAAUUCCAGGGCUCAACCUUGGGUGGUCGUUCGAGACGGGCAGUCUUGAGUUUGGCAGAGGGUCGUGGAAUUCCCAGUGUAGAGGUGAAAUUCGUAGAUAUUGGGAAGAACACCGGUGGCGAAGGCGGCGACCUGGUCCUUGACUGACGCUGAGGCGCGAAAGCGUGGGGAGCAAACAGG
rnacentral:rRNA from 1 species